ensembl:lncRNA
CCAUUCAUGAAAACUCUAGCUUUAUAACCUAAUCACUUCCCAAAGGCUCCACUCCCAAUCAUCAUUACAUUGGGGGUUAGAUUUCAACAUAUGAAUUUUAGGGGGCACAAACAUUCAGUCUAUAGCAAUUAUUAAUGACCUUACAGAAAUUAAAAUAUUUGUAAGGGAAUUCUAUGAACAACUUCAGGCCAACAAAUAAGGCGACUUAGAUAAAAUGGACUAAUUCCCAGAAAGACAUAAAUUAACAAAACCGAUUCAAAGAGAGUUUGAAAAUGUGAAUAGACUUAUAGCAGGUAGAGAAACUGAAUGAAUAAUUUAAAACUUUCCCAUAAAGAAAACCCAGGGCCCAGAUGACUUUACUGGAGAGUUCUAACAAACUUUUAAAGAACUGAUGCGAAUCAUUUGCAAACUCUUCCAAAAUAUAAAAGAGGAGGGACCACUUUCCAACUUAUUCUACGAGGCUAGUAUUAACCUAACAUCAAAGCCAAACAAAGUAUCACAGGAAAGUGAAACUACAGAUCAAUAUUCUUCAUGAAUAUAGAUGCAAAAAUCCUCAAGAAAAUGUUAGGAAGUUGAGUUCACAACCGUAUAAACAGAAGAUUUUAUGCUAUAACCAAGUAGAAUUUAUUACAGGAAUGUAAGCUAAAUUUAACAUCCCCAAACUAAUAUAAUACACUGUAUUAAUAAAAUAUAAAAACCGUAUUAUCUUGUGUGUGCAUGCAUGCUGUGUGCUAAGUUGCUUCAGUUGUGUCCAACUCUUUGCAAUCCUAUGGACUGUAUGUAGCCUGCCAGGCUCCUCUGUCCAUGGAGAUUCUCCAGCAAGAAUACUGGAGCGGGUUGCCAUGCCCUCCUCUUGGGGAUCUUCCUGACCUGGGAAUUGAAUCUGGGUCUCUUAAAUCUCUGGCAUUGGCAAGCAGAUUCUUUAUCACUAGCGCCACCUGGGAAGCUACUUGAAAAAAUUCAACAUUCGUGACAAAAUCUCCCAAUAAACUAGAAGCCGGAAGAAUUUCUAAGGGGAAGUCAUAUCUAUGAGAAACCGAUAGCUAAUGUGACACUUAAUGGUGAAAAAAAACAGAAAGUUUCCUCUGCUGAUCAAGAAAAAGACAGGAAAUCUGGUCUGACAGCUUCAUUGUAUUGGAGGUUCUAGACCAGACUGUGCAAGGGUUGAAUUUGGCCUAGGUGCUGUUUAUAUGUGGCCCACCAGAUAAGAAUGAUUUUUAAAUUUUUUUAGAUGGCUGUAAAACAAACAAACAUAAUGUGAUGGCUAAUUUUGUAUGUCAGCUUUGUGGAGUCAAGAGUCGGGCACGACUGAGCAACUAACACUUAAACAGUAGCAUUAUUACCUGGAAAAUUCCACGGACAGACCUGGGGGUCUACAGUCCAUGGAGCUGCAAAGAAUGAGACAGAACUGACAGACGAACACUUCACACGUAUUCUAGUAAAGUUGUGUUUUCUUUGUCUAUGUGAAGUAGAGUUUCCUAUGAUGGUACAGAACAUAGCCCAGUGCAGACUGAUGGCUGCAAACUUGAACAUCUGCCGGGCCAGAUAGGUGGCUAAGUGUUAGUUAGGCUAUGUUUCACCCUGAUGUGCAUGGAGCUACUUUGGAAAACAAUUUGAGUUUCUUAAAAUGUUAAACAGGAAUUUACCAUACGACCCAGAAUUCCCCUCAUGGAUAUCUAUUCAUAUGAAAACUCAUGUAACAAAAGACUUAUUUGGGAAUUCUCACAGCAGCAUUAUUUAUAAAACAAUGAAAUCAAUUCAAAUGUUCA